AAAUCCUGUCCAUGUGCUCCCGGAUUAGGAGAGGUGGUAGUUGACAAACAAGGCUAGCUAGUUGUUCCUCGUCGCCAUUGUACUGUGUCUAGAGUCCAUCCAGAGUAAGGGUUCGCCAAGCGUUCCUUGUGACCCGGGUAUAGUUUACAGCUUCAUGAGAUGGCCCCCAUAUUGAGUGUUUCGUAGUGCUUCACAAAAACUGUUUGUAGGACCAGAAAGAAGUGACACAUCGCAUAGUGUUUUACGAACUGUUUAGGACUAUACGUAAGUGAAACUUUCAACCAGGGGAUUCCCCACUCUGAUGACGGGUAGGAUGUUCAGGUGAAUUGUCCAGGAUGUUGUGUUCCCAGCCCGGGGACAAUGACGUUGGCUCUGUGGAGCCGAGAGUUGAAAAUACGGCACAAUCCCGUCAGCAGUCCAGUACAGGUGCCCCUCCUAUAUCCCCUCAAACAUCUAACGAACCAAUAGUAGGCCGCGACACAGACAGCAGCUACAGCUUCACCCACAGCAAGCGCGGCUACGCCGUCCUCAUCAUGAACCACGAGUUCGCAAACGAGGACGAGAAUUUACCCGGGGUGAAACACGAUAUUGACAGCAUGUCCAGAUUAUUCACAUCGAUGGAUUUUGAAGUUAGACAACUCAUAAACCUUACAGGUGACCAGCUUGUUUCAGAUCUUUGGGAUAUCCAGACUCAGAUAUCGAGUGACUGUGACUGUUUUGUCUGCGUCAUCAGCACACACGGAGGGGAGGAUCCCGGGUUUUACGCCAAUUCCCCUCAGGAGCCAGGAUACACUAAGACAGAACAUUAUGUCUUGAAUAAUGAGGGCGCACUUUGGACCCGACACAUCAUGGACAUGUUUAACGACCAACACUGCCUGUAGAGGAAAUGACGUCGAUAAAGGCGUUUAUUUGAAUGAGAAUACCGAAAAUUUUGAAUCAAAUAAAGAUCAAAGUGAGGAUAUUUCUUUGAACCAAGAUGUGUUCCAAAUUCCUUGUUUUAACGACUUCCUAGUCAUGUUUUCAUCCACCUCAGGUAAAUAUGCAUGGUCGGAAGAUUUAGAGGGUGGGUGGCUGCUGUCAGCUAUAGACCAAGUGUUUUCUUCCGGUUCCGCCGGUGACGAUCUACUUUCACUUUUGACACAAGUUUGCGGAGAGGUGGCGUCCAGAGAAGCGUUUAUUCCAAACAACGAAAGAGCUCAUUGCUCAAAGAGCACCGCCUGUGUAUAUCAUAAACUGAGCAAAGAUAUAUAUUUCCCUUCAUCCAAGACUAAAUAUAGUGACGUCGAUUGUUGAAACAAACCAGGCCGACAUCGCGCGCAUUUUCAAAAGACGAUCUUGGUACAACAUGUCUCGUACUUAUGUGAACUCAAAAGAGACUGCUUAAGAAAUACAUGUAAUGAAGCACUAGAAUGAUUAUUCUAUCAUGCCGUAUUUUGUAUUAUUACACUUGAAAAAUUGUCUGCUUCAGUCUUCCUAAAAAUACAACGAAAUUUG
rnacentral:misc_RNA from 1 species